GGAGGGUACAGCUCAGUGGUAGAGCACAUGCUUAGCAUGCACGAGGUCCUGGGUUCAGUCCCCAAAGCCUCCA
rnacentral:tRNA from 1 species